ACGCUGGCGGCGUGCCUAAUACAUGCAAGUAGAACGCUGAAGAGAGGAGCUUGCUCUUCUUGGAUGAGUUGCGAACGGGUGAGUAACGCGUAGGUAACCUGCCUUGUAGCGGGGGAUAACUAUUGGAAACGAUAGCUAAUACCGCAUAACAAUGGAUGACACAUGUCAUUUAUUUGAAAGGGGCAAUUGCUCCACUACAAGAUGGACCUGCGUUGUAUUAGCUAGUAGGUGAGGUAACGGCUCACCUAGGCGACGAUACAUAGCCGACCUGAGAGGGUGAUCGGCCACACUGGGACUGAGACACGGCCCAGACUCCUACGGGAGGCAGCAGUAGGGAAUCUUCGGCAAUGGGGGCAACCCUGACCGAGCAACGCCGCGUGAGUGAAGAAGGUUUUCGGAUCGUAAAGCUCUGUUGUAAGUCAAGAACGAGUGUGAGAGUGGAAAGUUCACACUGUGACGGUAGCUUACCAGAAAGGGACGGCUAACUACGUGCCAGCAGCCGCGGUAAUACGUAGGUCCCGAGCGUUGUCCGGAUUUAUUGGGCGUAAAGCGAGCGCAGGCGGUUUGAUAAGUCUGAAGUUAAAGGCUGUGGCUCAACCAUAGUUCGCUUUGGAAACUGUCAAACUUGAGUGCAGAAGGGGAGAGUGGAAUUCCAUGUGUAGCGGUGAAAUGCGUAGAUAUAUGGAGGAACACCGGUGGCGAAAGCGGCUCUCUGGUCUGUAACUGACGCUGAGGCUCGAAAGCGUGGGGAGCGAACAGGAUUAGAUACCCUGGUAGUCCACGCCGUAAACGAUGAGUGCUAGGUGUUGGAUCCUUUCCGGGAUUCAGUGCCACAGCUAACGCAUUAAGCACUCCGCCUGGGGAGUACGACCGCAAGGUUGAAACUCAAAGGGAAUUGACCGGGGGCCCGCA
rnacentral:rRNA from 1 species